GCCGGGUGCAGUGGCGCGCGCCUGUAAUCCAAGCUUCUGGGAGGCUGAGGCUGGCGGAUCGCUUGAGUUCAGGGGUUCUGGGCUGCAGUGGACUAUGUCGAUCGGGUGUCCGCGCUAAGUUCGGUAUCGCUAUGGUGCUCCUGGGGGAGCUCGGGACCACCAGGUCGUCUAAGGAGGGGUGAACCGGCCCAGGUCGGAGACGGAGCAGGUCAAAGCCCCCGUGCCGAUCAGUAGUGGGGUCGCGCCUGUGAAUAGACACUGCAGUGCAGCCUGAGCGAUACAGCGAGACUCAGACUUUU
ensembl:misc_RNA Metazoa_SRP Metazoan signal recognition particle RNA